GCUAGAGAGAGAUAGCAAACGUUUAUUAGUAAUUUCACCAUGAUUUCACCAUGAGCUGGUGUUCCUGGUGAGAGGGCACUGUGGCGAAUCCGUCACCUAGUUACUAAUUUCACCAUGUUCCUGGUGAGAGGGCACUGUGGUGAAUCCGUCACCUUGUUGCUCACACACUUCAGCUUGCAGUUAAGGAUUUCCUUAAAAUUGGUGCAAGUGAUGCUCUUUUUCAGAAGGCUCGCAAGCUGGUUAAAGCUCUGCGGACAUCAAACUACAGAUAUGUAAAGGCUUAUAAUUUCAAAUGAAGGCUUACGUCAGCCCCUUCUUGACUUCAGCCAUCUAUUUGGAUCCCAGGAUGCGAAGGGGUUUGCUUAAAAAUCCAUUAAAAAUUUUACUAACGAAGAACCAUUUGACUACACUUUACAGGCAAAUAAAUGCAAUUGCAAACAAAGACCAUCUAUUACCAGCUAUAAGCUUAGAUUCGCCACAGCCCACUGCGCAUGAAUUUGACCAGCCUUCCACAAGCCAAUUUUCGAGCGCGUCACAGAGUACUUGCUCCUUGCUCAAUGAUUUCCUCAAUUCUAUUUAGGUUUCUUCAGGCAAUGAGGAGUCAGAUGAAGAGGAGGAACGUGAAGUUCAGCUUGCCAUUAAUGAAAUACAAAAUUAUUGUCCGAAGCCAAUUGACAUAAAUGCCAAUAUUAUGGAUUAUUGGGAAGAAAAGAAAUACAUAUAUCCCCGCUUAUAUGAAUUGGCCUAAGGUCAUACAUUGUGUUCCCUGAAACUGAACUGAAACUUAUACGAUCAGACUUGCGCUGCAAUUUGUCCGCAAGUUCUAUAAAACAACUUAUGUUUUUAAAACUAAACAAAUAUUGAAUAAAUUCACCAUUUCGUUAUAAUUCCCAUUUCUUUCUUUUGUAGU